ncrna:unclassified sequences DTF3800-VIII RNA
UGCGUCCUGCGCCGGUCGAAGCCCUGCGUUCCUACGCGGGGUAUUUCCGUAGGCCGAGCGGGGCGCA